UGCAUAGCUCAGUUGGUCGAGUGUGAGACUCUUAACCUCAGGGUCGCGGGUUUGAGCCCCACGUUGGGAAAAA